rnacentral:lncRNA from 1 species
AAAAUAUUUGAUAAGAUACUUCUAAAGAAAGUUGAACAAUAACAGAGACUUGUGUCCAUUAAAUAGUUCUGCCAAAGGUUAGGAAGGGUUAAAGCUUAAUUCCAACGGGUAUUCUGAAGGAUUGAAAAAUUGACUUUAUGAGAAAGAAGAUGUUGCAAUUGAAUGGAUUUAGGGAUUUUUCAGUUUACAGUUGUUACACCUCCACCUGGGAUUAAUUAUAAAUGAUUUAAUUUAUAAGUAAAUGAAAAAGGGUGACGGAUAAAUGAAUUAUUCUCGUCGAUCUAUUGAAAUGUAUGGUUGAAAAUGUGGGCUCAACCAGUAAAAAAUGGGAACAAGAUUGGCCAGACAGGUUAUAGAAAAAGCUGCAUCAUACAUUUUCACUUACCAAAAAAAAAAAAAAAAAAAAAAAAUAAAN